GCUACCCACUCCAUCAGGGAGUAGGGCACACAGGGUCGCAGGUCUGGCCAUGGAGUCUCACUCUGUCCCUCACUUCCUGCGGGAUCCGGUCCGGGUUUCUGCAGGGUUUGUGCGGACCCCCAGGUAUGGGACCGAAGACGCCCUCGAUGGAGCGCCUUGGAUCCCUGCUCGGGUACUGUUUCCUGCGGUCAUAGCGCCCCGGGGUGGCGGAGGCUUCGGCGACUAGGAAUCUUGCUGCAAGACAGAGACUCACUAUGUUGCCCAGGCUGACCUUGAACUCACUCGAUCCUCCUGCCUCACCCUGCAGAGUGCUGGUAUUACAGAUGUGCGCCAUCACAUCCAGCUCGUUUAGAAAAAGGAAAACAAUAAUAAAAAAGAGACAGCGUAGGAAAGCAUGGUGACCACUCUGACACAUAGUAGGUGCUCAUGUAAAUGAGGGUCUGUUCCUGGGGCCGCAUGACGACACUGCCAGCUCCUGCUUUGACAUUUAUGUGCGCAUUACCUCCUACUCAGAGCCCAGGUUUGAUGUAAAUCAGCUAAAUUAAAAGGAAAAUAUAUAGGCAAAGGAAGUCCUAUCAACAGACAAAAAAGGACAAACAAAAAACCUGACUGUACAAGUCUAUAAAAAUCCAUAUUACAGCAUGCUGCUCUGAACCUAUAAAUUGGAAACACGUGAAGCUGCCCCACAUGGCCUGAAGAUCUCGUCCUUCACACGGGAACAGGAAAUGCAGCCACCUCCAUCGGGCACGGGAGCCCGGAGUGGGCACUGCCAGCAGCCCGGCCACCCCCCUCCCAAAGCACAGGCAUCAGAAGGGAGCUUACCCAGCACCGACCCCAGCCCUGCCCCAUGAGGUAAAUGUCAAACAGAUGUCCUCAAAGAGUGGAAAAAUGAAAUGAAAAGCACAUUUAGGAUUUAUAGAGCUGAAAACCAAAAACCAGUGGAAAUUAGUACUCUGAGGCGUGGCUCAGCUUGCUGGUAAUGUGAGUUGGUUUUUUUCUUUAUCACCAUAGCACUUGCGAAUUUGCUUCCAGAUCCCCAGCAGUCAUAGG